rnacentral:tRNA from 1 species
GUGUCUGUAGCUCAGCUGGAUAGAGCAACGGCCUUCUAAGCCGUGGGUCGAAGGUUCGAAUCCUUUCAGGCACG